rnacentral:rRNA from 1 species
AGCGAACGCUGGCGGCAGGCUUAACACAUGCAAGUCGAGCGGGCCCUUCGGGGUCAGCGGCAGACGGGUGAGUAACACGUGGGAACGUACCCUUUGGUUCGGAAUAACGCUGGGAAACUAGCGCUAAUACCGGAUACGCCCGUUUGGGGAAAGGCUUGCUGCCGAAGGAUCGGCCCGCGUCUGAUUAGCUAGUUGGUGGGGUAAUGGCCUACCAAGGCGACGAUCAGUAGCUGGUCUGAGAGGAUGAUCAGCCACACUGGGACUGAGACACGGCCCAGACUCCUACGGGAGGCAGCAGUGGGGAAUAUUGGACAAGGGGCGCAAGCCUGAUCCAGCCAUGCCGCGUGAGUGAUGAAGGCCUUAGGGUUGUAAAGCUCUUUUGUCCGGGACGAUAAUGACGGUACCGGAAGAAUAAGCCCCGGCUAACUUCGUG